rnacentral:rRNA from 1 species
AGCGGUGGAGCAUGUGGUUUAAUUCGAUGAUACGCGAGGAUCCUUACCAAGGCUUAAAUGUAGAUCGACCGUUUUGGAAACAGAACUUUCGCAAGACAAUUCACAAGGUGCUGCAUGGUAGUCGUCAGCUCGUGCCGUGAGCUGUCAGCUUAAGUCCUAUAACGAGUGCAACCCCUGUCGUUAGUUGCCAGCGAGUCAAGUCGGGAACUCUAACAAGACUGCCAGUGCAAACGUUGAGGAAGGUGGGGAUGACGUCAAAUCAUCACGGCCCUUACGCCUUGGGCUACACACGUGCUACAAUGGCCGGUACAGAGAGCAGCCACUGGGCGACCAGGAGCGAAUCUAUAAAUCCGGUCACAGUUCGGAUCGGAGUCUGCAACUAGACCUCCGUGAAGCUGGAAUGCGCUAGUAAUCGGAUAUCAGUCCAUGAUCCGGUGAAUACGUUCCCGGGCCUUGUACACACCGCCCGUCAAGCCAUGGAAGCUGGGGGUGCCUGAAGU